CAGCCGCCACGGUAAAACAGAGGAUGCAAGCGUUAUCCGGAAUGAUUGGGCGUAAAGCGCGCGUAGGCGGUUUUUAAAGUCUGAUGUGAAAGCCCACGGCUCAACCGUGGAGGGUCAUUGGAAACUGGAAAACUUGAGUGCAGAAGAGGAAAGUGGAAUUCCAUGUGUAGCGGUGAAAUGCGCAGAGAUAUGGAGGAACACCAGUGGCGAAGGCGACUUUCUGGUCUGUAACUGAUGCUGAUGUGCGAAAGCGUGGGGAUCAAACAGGAUUAGAUACCCGCGUAGUCCCUGUCUCUUAUAC
rnacentral:rRNA from 1 species